GUAGGUGAACCUGCGGAAGGAUCAUUAAUAAGUUGAACCCACACCCCUCGUUGUGUAGGUUACUUGUCCACGCAUUAGCAGCCCAUCAAGCUUCCGAAAGGAAGAUGUAAGCUGGAUCGCCCAUUCACGUUGUCGUCUCACGGGACGGCAGGCUUCAGUGCGAGCGUGGUGGUCACGGUUUGCGGCGCCGAUCGUAAGAUUGGCCUUGGGAUUACACUUAAACCCGUGUCUACCUUCUCUGUUUCUUUGG
rnacentral:misc_RNA from 1 species